AUUGAAAGCUGGCGGUAUGCCUUACACAUGCAAGUCGAACGGUAGAGGGGUAACCCUUGAGAGUGGCGAACGGGUGAGUAAUUCAUCGGAACGUGCCCAGUCGUGGGGGAUAACGUAGCGAAAGCUACGCUAAUACCGCAUACGACCCGAGGGUGAAAGCGGGGGACUCGCCAGGGCCGCGCGACAUUGGCGCUGCCGAUGGCAGAUUAGGUAGUUGGUGGGGUAAAGGCCCACCAAGCCUGCGAUCUGUAGCUGGUCUGAGAGUAAGACCAGCCACACUGGGACUGAGACACGGCCCAGACUCCUACGGGAGGCAGCAGUGGGGAAUUUUGGACAAUGUGCGAAAGCCUGAUCCAGCCAUACCGCGUGCGGGCAGAAGGCCUUCGGGUUGUAAACCGCUUUUGUCAGGGAAGAAAUCUUCUGGGUUAAUGCCUCGGGAGGAUGACGGUACCUGAAGAAUAAGCACCGGCUAACUACGUGCCAGCCGCCGCUGUAAUAC
rnacentral:rRNA from 1 species